UACGUAGGGUGCAAGCGUUAAUCGGAAUUACUGGGCGUAAAGCGUGCGCAGGCGGUUAUGUAAGACAGAUGUGAAAUCCCCGGGCUCAACCUGGGAACUGCAUUUGUGACUGCAUAGCUAGAGUACGGUAGAGGGGGGAUGGAAUUCCGCGUGUAGCAGUGAAAUGCGUAGAUAUGCGGAGGAACACCGAUGGCGAAGGCAAUCCCCUGGACCUGUACUGACGCUCAUGCACGAAAGCGUGGGGAGCAAACGAGG
rnacentral:rRNA from 1 species